UACAGAGGUCCCAAGCGUUGUCCGGAAUUAUUGGGCGUAAAGCGCGCGCAGGCGGCCUCUUAAGUCUGAUGUGAAGGCCCCCGGCUCAACCGGGGAGGGCCAUUGGAAACUGGGAGGCUUGAGUAUAGGAGAGAAGAGUGGAAUUCCACGUGUAGCGGUGAAAUGCGUAGAGAUGUGGAGGAACACCAGUGGCGAAGGCGACUCUUUGGCCUAUAACUGACGCUGAGGCGCGAAAGCGUGGGGAGCAAACAGG
rnacentral:rRNA from 1 species